rnacentral:rRNA from 1 species
GUGGGGAAUAUUGCACAAUGGGGGAAACCCUGAUGCAGCCAUGCCGCGUGUGUGAAGAAGGCCUUCGGGUUGUAAAGCACUUUCAGUAGGGAGGAAAGGUUGUAAGUUAAUACCUUGCAGCUGUGACGUUACCUACAGAAGAAGGACCGGCUAACUCCGUGCCAGCAGCCGCGGUAAUACGGAGGGUCCAAGCGUUAAUCGGAAUUACUGGGCGUAAAGCGUGCGCAGGCGGUUUGUUAAGCGAGAUGUGAAAGCCCCGGGCUCAACCUGGGAAUUGCAUUUCGAACUGGCAAACUAGAGUCUUGUAGAGGGGGGUAGAAUUCCAGGUGUAGCGGUGAAAUGCGUAGAGAUCUGGAGGAAUACCGGUGGCGAAGGCGGCCCCCUGGACAAAGACUGACGCUCAGGCACGAAAGCGUGGGGAGCAAACAGGAUUAGAAACCCUAGUAGUCC